rnacentral:rRNA from 1 species
UACGUAGGGUGCGAGCGUUGUCCGGAAUUAUUGGGCGUAAAGAGCUCGUAGGCGGUCUGUCGCGUCGGUCGUGAAAACUUGGGGCUUAACCCUGAGCUUGCGGUCGAUACGGGCAUGACUGGAGUUCGGCAGGGGAGACUGGAAUUCCUGGUGUAGCGGUGAAAUGCGCAGAUAUCAGGAGGAACACCGGUGGCGAAAGGCGGGUCUCUGGGCAACAACUGACGCUGAGGAGCGAAAGCGUGGGGAGCAAACAGG